UCUCAGAAUCUGAAAUCAACCUCUCCCAAUUCCUCUCUGCUGUCGAACCAAGGAAAAAUUGGAGGGCAUCUGACCAAGUUAUUCGACGAUUAUCUAAACCUCAACUAGAAGAAGCAGCGACAGCAGCAACCGGCGACUCCUAUUGCUACCAGGUCCCUCUUUUCUAGUUCCUCAAAUUGCUUUUGCAGGUAACUCUAUGUCUUGAAUCACUUUUCCUUUUCCUUUUCCCCUUAUCUGCAACUGGCAAUAUCUAGUAUGACUAUUAUUAUAUAUGUUCUGAAUCCAACCACCAACCACUUCUUCACACUCAAUUCUCCAAUUGGCUAGGCCAUAAAAAAGAUAGAAGUGUAAGAACAAUAAAGCCCAAGUGUUCAAUUAAGAUAGGUAGGGUAAUCCUAGAAUUGCUGAACUUAUCCAAAUAUGGCUUGUGUUAUUUGAUUAAUAUAAAAAACGUGAAGACAAAUUUGAAACUGUGAUAUUUUAUAGGCUGCUUCAAGACCAGUGCGUGGCUUUGUUUUGUAAUUGCCAAUAUAUAUAUGCCAAUAAAUUUGAUGGUAUGCAACCUUUGUUUGUAAUUUUGAGUUUUAAGCUAUUUGUCCCCUUCUUCAAUACCCAUAAAGCAUUUUGCCCAAAAUAACACGAAACAUAAAAAUCAGAUCUUAAUUUUGUCUAGCGUAGAAAUAGGUUAGUUAGGUCAGUUUUUCCCUCAAUUUAGAAGCUUAAGUGUGAAAUUUUAGGUCUUUGAAUUGUAUUUGAUUGACAUUCUGGGUUAGGUUAGUUUUGCUAAGAACUUUAGUUUUUCUGUUUUGAUUGCCAAUUUGGUAAUGUAAAGAAAUGGGUAUACCUUAUGAUGGAGAUGCAAAUAGAUUGAUUUAUUGAUGUUAUUUGCAGAAAUGGAUACUGUUGGAAUAUUGGUAUUCUACAACGGAAGCUGGGUUCACAAGGAUAACAUUGAGAGUUAUGAAGGUGGUGAGGCUAAAGGCAUAAUAGUAUCACAGAACGUAACAUUUUCUGAGCUUGUUGACCUCAUUUAUAAGAUCAUGAAUGCAGAUCGCAACAAAUACAUUGUCACAUUGAAGUAUUCUGUUCCUCUAUCAUCAUCUGCCUAUAAGCGCCUAAAGGUUGAAGAUAAUGAUGACGUUCAAUAUUUUCUGAAAUACAACACGGAGUUAUGACCUCUAAAGUAACCCUUUUAUUAGCAACCCUCAAAAUUAUAGAAGGACAUGGUAUUCAAGGCUGCAAUGGCAUUGUAAGCAUUAGGAGUAGCAAUCCUCCCCCUGCAGUUGUUGUGAGAGAUAGGAAUGAGGUAAUUGGGGAUAGUGGAACUGAAAAUAGUGUAACUGGUUUUAAUUGGAAAGAUGGGUUGAAGAUGUUAAUUUUGAAUGUGUCGAAAACAUAGUUGCAGAUUUUUAUGUACCUAGCAACGAAGAGGAAGCAUACUCUACUCCAAACGUGCAUCCUCAUCGAGAAAGCAAUUUCCAAGCCUCCAUGAUGCAAGUUACACAAGUGCAAUCUGAAACUCCGCAACAAUCAAGUUGGACUCAAAUGCAUACAAGCCAGGUUCAUUUGGUGCAUGGUAAGAGUGUGGAAGAUAUUGAUUAUGGUGGAGGUCUUUCUUGCAUAAAUUGGGAAGCAAAUUUUAAGGCUGGACGAGCUUUUCCAAAUAAGCUUGCCCUUAUAAAAACCUUAUGUUUAGCAGCAGUCAUAGGCCACUUUUGAUUUAGAACAAUCCAAUUUGGGAAACGUAGGUUGUGUGUUCAUUGUUGGCAACUUCCUUGCCCUUAGCGACUUCAGGCAUAUAAAGUUGGAUUACAUGAGUUUAGGGUUGUUAAAUACGAUCCAUUUCGUGAAUGUGCUCUAGGGUAUCUUAGUAGUCACCAUCCUCAAGCUAGUACUGGAUUGUUGUCUGACUCUGUGAAACGCAUAUUCAAGGAUUCUCGCACCAUUUAUACUGCAGGUGAUAUCAUCAAAGAUGUGCGACAAAAUUUUGGUGUGACCAUAAGCUACUCUAAAGCAUGGAGAAGCCAAGAGUUAGCUUUAAAGAUAAUUAGAGGGUCUGCAGAAGAGUCAUAUGCUCUUCUCCCUUCCUAUUAUUAUGAAUUGGAGCGUACAAAUCCUGAAACUUUGACAUACAUUGAGACUGAUGCAGCCAACCACUUUUUAUAUUUUUUUUAUGUCAAUUGGUGCAUGCAUAAGAGGAUUUAAGUCCUUAUUGCGUCCUGUGAUUGCUGUUAAUGCUACCCAUUUGAAGUGCAAGUACAAAGGUGUCUUGUUUGUUGCCACUGCAUUUGACGGAAAUCGUAAUAUAUAUCCUCUUGCCUUUAGGAUUGGAGAUUUGGAGACGGAUGCAACUUCGAAUCUUCUUGUCAUAUCUGAUCGAAAUCUUAGCAUAGAAAAUGGGUUGAAAAGAGUUUUUCCUCAGGCAACACAUAGUAUUUGCUUUUAUCACUUGAAGGGCAAUAUGAAAGCCUCAUUUAAGUUGAAGAAGCGGGAUCCGAUAUUGGGGUUUUUUGUGCGGGCAGCCAAGUCUGACCGUCUAGCAGAGUUCAAUCGUUAUUUCUCCAUGAUAAACAACGAGCGAGUGCAAACUUAUCUAGUACGUGCAGGGCUCCAUAAGUGGUUUCGAGCCCAUUGUGACGGACGACGAUAUAAUGUCAUGACAACUAAUAUUUCAAAGUCCAUUAAUUUAGUUCUUCGUUUUGCAAGGAUGCUUCCGAUGGUACACUUGAUCGAGAAAAUUAGGAAUAUGCUUCAGAAUUGGUUUAGUCAACGUCGAGAUUUGUCAAUGAAAUGUAAAUCUAUGUUGUGCCCUGAUUUAGGCAAAAAGAAGUUGAGGAAGAGAUUAGACUCUGUUUCAAGGAUGAAUGUGGUUAAAAUCAAUGAUGUGGAGUAUAAUGUGUUUGAUGGUGAUAUGAACGGGUGCACUUGCAAAACCAUAGUUGUACGUGUAGGAAGUUUGACUUAGAGCAACUCCCGUGCAAGCAUGCUAUUGCGGUAUGUCGGCACUUGAAAUUGAACCCAUACUCAUUUGCCUCUUCGUAUUACACUCGAACUACAUGGGCAGUUGCAUAUGAUUAAACCAUUUAUCCUGUACAACCUCAAGGGACAUGGGUUAUUCCCGAAAAUGUCCAAAAUGUAAAUCUCCUCUCUCCUAUUUCAAAGGUUAUGCCUGGCCGUCGUAAGACGCAAAGAAUACCUUCUAAAGGAGAGGACUCACAAGAAAGAAAAUGCUCAAGAUGCGGUGUGAAGGGCCACUAUCGAAGUACAUGCAAAGAAGCGUAUACACUAGAUAUCUUGGAAGAUGCGGGCUUACUUGGUGCUAAACCUGAAAAAAUUCCUAUGGAAGCCAAUGUUGCCCUCAUGCCUACAGGGAGUGACCCUCUUAAAGACCCUACUCGUUAUCGAAGACUUAUUGGAAGAUUAAUCUAUCUGACAAUAACAAGACCAGAAAUCACACAUGCAGUAAAUACACUCAGUCAGUUUAUGCAUGAGCCUCGGAAGCACCAUUUUGACACAGCAUGUCGGCUCCUUCACUACCUUAAAGGAGCUCCUGGCCAAGGGUUAUUAUUCUCUUCGAAUGGGCCACUACACUUGACUACAUAUUGUGAUGCGAACUAGGCAUGAUGUCCUUUUACAAGGCGCUCGGUUACUGGAUACUGUAUCUUUCUUGACAGGUCACUCAUAUCAUGGAAAAGCAAGAAGCAUGUUACUGUCUCAAGGUUGUCUGCAGAAGCUGAGUAUCGCUCCAUGGCAGCUACCACUUGUGAACUUACUUGGUUGCGAUACCUCUUACAAGACCUACAAGUGGAGCAUCGCCAACCAACCACCUCACUUUGUUACAACAAGGCAGCACUCUACAUUGCAGCCAACCCAGUUUAUCAUGAACGGACCAAGCACAUCGAAUUGGAUCGCCAUACUGUUCGUGAGAGAAUUCAAAAUGGAGAAAUCCAGACAGCUAAUGUACAAACAAAACAUCAAGUUGCUGAUAUUUUCACUGAGCCGCUGCCUGCAUCCUUGUUCCAAUCCCAUCUUGGCAAGUUGGGUGUAAUAGACAUUCACACUCCAACUUGAGGUGGAGUUUAAAAGGAAAGAAAUUGGUCAACUAUUGUAAUUAGCAGAAGCCCAGUGAUUAUCUAAGAUUGAGUCAAUCACAGCUAUUGUGAUUGACUUACUUAGAAUAGAUUUCCUAUUUACUUAGAAUAGCAUUUGUAAUCUGUAUAAAGCUUGUACAUUACAGUCUCAUUGAGAUCAAUACAAACUACAUAAUUCCAUAUUCUUUCACACUCCACCAUAAAAUCAGUCAAAAACCGAUAUAAAAGUUCAUGCCUUCCUCCAAAUUGUCUAAAUUAAAGACUAAAAUUGAUCAAAUCAAAGUGCAUGAAAUACAUGUCAUAGGAUAGGAUGUGGUGGACUACUAAUUAUGUAACUCGUUGGAAAAAAAAAAAAAAAAUUUAUCACAGAGUUAGGAACAAAUCUAAAGACACAAAUGCAAAAGUUUUGAGUUGAAUAUGAGUUGUAAUAUUAGGAACCCUAACGACUUAAUUGUGAAAACUUAAAUUACUUAUUUUGACAAAAUAAUGAAAUAAAAGUACAUAAAAAGAAAAACAAGAAAACUAGGGAUUGAGAAGAGAGAAGAUUGUCAUUACCAUUCUCUAGAAAUUUUGAAAACGACCUUCUGGCGUUAUGCCUUUCUUCCAAAUGCGCUAUAAUGCUAUGAAUUGAUUUGCCGUUCUAGAUGUGCGAUGGGGACAGAGGACUGCGAGAGAGGAAGGAAGAAUUGGGUUUCAGAGAAGGAUACAUUGUCAAUAUAAUAUCUAUUAUAUGAAGGGCAGUUUAGUACUGUCACAUGAGGAAGUGAGUAUUUGUGGUUAAUAUUUAAUUAUUAAAUUAUUAGAAGAAAAUAUAAUUUUGCCCCUAGAAUAAAUUAUUGGGGAAAAUGUUGACUUUUUGACCAAGAAGGAAUUUGGGAAAUUCGCUUCUGACAUUGCGUAGAUCUCAUCGAAACGAGUCCAUGGACACAUAGUGGACUUGAAUCGGAGCUAUAACGAAGAAAAUAUUAUUAAAUCACACUGAGGGGCAAAACGGUAAUUUGCCAGAUCAGAUUUUUAAAACCUCCUCUCUCUCUCUCUCUCUCUCUCUCUCUCUCUCUCUCUCUCUCUCUCUCUCUUUCUCUCCCCGCGAUAACCCCUUCUCCUCUGGUUUUCCCGAUCGUCUCCCUUCUCCCAGCCACCGCCACACCCAACCCUGACCACCAGACUGGCCCAGGAAGGACCCCGUCACCACAGCUACCCAACCCAACCAUCCCCGUCGCCAGCCGUCGCUGGAAACUGCCAGAAACAGCUCGGAUUCGCACUGGUUUGACAGAAACUUUGUUGGCACUGUUCUCUCUCCUUCGGCCGCCAUUUCUGGUGAUCAAGGUAUGGAUUUCCGCAUAUUUUUCAUGCUCUAGCUGAUGAUUGGGUAGGAUUUGAGAAAAUUCUAGCCUAGAUGAAUUGAUUUUGGAUCCAAAGUUUGGCCGAUUUUGGGAUCUCGAUUCCGGCCACUUCCACUCAUUUUUCGGGAUAGGUCCAAGAACAAAGUUGACUCCAAAUGAGGUUUUACACCUAGGGUAGGAAUCUUGGCCAACGGUUUGGAGUAUUUCGGGUCACCGAAAGUUGAUUUGCAAUCGCACGCACUGCCGGCGCGUGGGCAAUGUGUUGGAGGCUACAUUCGGUCCUAAAAUGAUCCUUGUGGUCUCACAAGCGCGUAUUGUGCGAUGUCUGAGUUCGAUACGUUCGAACCGUUGGAUCGUAGUCAAUUUCAUAUAAGAUGAUCUAGACAAUUCCAGGAUCGUAUAGGAUUCGACGGAUCGCGAAUCAGAGUUCCGAAAACUCCGAAACAACGAACCCGAGGGCAAGAUUAAUUGUAGUCAUCCGAUCGUGCGAUUGUGAUCAAUCCGAUUGUUCGACUUGGACCAAACUUGCAGGGUAGGGUUAGAAGAGUGUGUUGAACCUAUAGGGACUUCUGGAACUGCGAUCGGAGGUCGUGGGCCCCGCGGGCCUGGUUGACCAAGUUUAGGUAGUUUGACCCCUCGGUUGAUCAUGAGUCUUUCGAGGCAGUUAGAUCCUUUGAGAAGUGUUAAAAUGACCAUGUAAACGAGUCUUGAUCGAGAAUAAGUUAUCUGAGUUAUGUUACGGAUUGAGUAUAGAUAGUUAUUUAUAGAUUGCUAAAUUGUGCAUAUAUAUUUUAACUAUAGUUGAGAAUCAAUUUAUCAGAAAGUUGAUAUAAAGGUCGGAAAAUGGACCGGGAAAUAAAGGGAAAGUAUUGAUAUAAGUUUGAGAUAUAGUUUUUCAAACCCACCACAAGGGUACCCCCUAGUUGCUUUGAAUUAGUGUCACUUAUAAAUAAUGCCCCACGUGUUUCGAGGAUGCCUGAACCGUGUGGUGCGAGGAAUGCAGCUCAGGUUGACCAAUGGUCCCCUGAGGCCUGCGAGGAUUGCAGCUCGGAUAUAAGUGGUAUCUCUAAGGCUUGCGAGGAUUGCAGCUUGGAUAAAAGUGGUAUCUUCGAGGCCUGCGAGGAUUGCGGCUCGAGUUGACUUGGUGUCUCCAAGGCCUGCGAGAGUGGAAUUGAUGGAUCAGGAAUGAGGGCACGCCUAGGUGGAGAGAAUUUCAGUUUUGAGAUGUUCUUAAACUAAAAUAGAUUGAGUUCAGUGUAUGACAUAUUUAUAUUUAGUAUAUGACUAACACGAGUAUUAGGAAGAAACGUGUGGCUUAAUCCCUCAGUCAGGGUACGUAGGUAGCCUAAUGUUACAAGGUGCAGCCACGAGUUGGAGUCUUUGAGAUUGCUAACGUACUAUUGAUAUUCUGAAAGUUGAGAUGAACUUUAUUAGCAGAAUGAUUUAUUGGCUUUGUUGAGGCAUGAGGCUAGAAUGAUAUGAUGCUGAUUGCUUGGGUAUAAUUAAAUGCAUGCUGAACGAUUGAGAUAUAUAAAUGUUUGUUGACAGGUGGAAAGUUUUGGGAAAUGAGCAAAUUACAGGGGAGACUUUGCCGAAUUUUCGGCAGAAGUCUAGCUGAUAGAAAAAUUGGUUCUAGUUAGAAGGGCAAUUUGGUCAUUUGUGCCCCGUGUGCCCUGCAUUAGCCAGGUGUCGGAUGCGCACAGGGUUCAGCUCGGAUUCCAAAGUGGAAUUUGGGUUGGGUCCUGUCAAUUCUUGAUUAAGAUUUCUAGUUUGUGAGUAUGUACGUGCAUUUCCCCUGAAAAUACCACCUCUCCCCAAAAUUUUUGCAACUAUCACCUAUAAGUAAUAUUUAUUGACCACUUAUUGCACACAUCUACUUUUGUUGAAAUUUUGUUUUCUCUCUAUCGCGCCUCUCACUCUCUCUGUCGCUCAGCUCUCUCUGUCUCCGUUGCUCAGGUCUCACUCUCUCUUCGGUCAGUUGUCACUCUCUCUUCUCUCUUUCACCGUCAUGGGAAGCUCUCGGCCUCUCUUCGUAGCUCUCUCUAGUGUAGCUUUCUAUCUCUCUCUCUCUCUCUCUCUCUCUCUCUCUGACACAGUGGUCUUCCUCUUCCGUUGUUCACCUGCAAAAGGUACUAUUCAUCAUCAAUUUGAAUUGGUUUAGGGGUUUCUCUGAAGUUGGUUUAGAGUUUAUGGGUUUCUAUGAAAUUGGUUUAGGGUUCAGGGGUAUCUCUGAAAUUGGAUUAGGGGUUUGUCUGAAAUUGGUUUGGGGUUUAGGGGUUUGUCUGAAAUUGGUUUAGGGUUGAGGGGUUUCUUUGAAAUUGUUUGAUUAUGAUGAUUCCUUGUUUGAAACAUUGAAUGGUUUUGUUCUUUGUGGAUUGAUUCUUGCAUUUGAUUUGGGAUUCUAUUGUUUUGCUGUUAUUUUGCUGUUGUUAUUUAUGUUUUAUUGAAGUUGUAGUGUUAUUUUUUUGGUAUCGUAUUGCCAAUUUAGUGGUUUUGUAUUGGCAUUUUAGUGUUGUUGUAUUGCUAGUUUAUUAUGGUUUUAUUCUUGUUCCAUUAUGGUUUUAAUAGUUUUGGUGAUUUAUGCAAUUGAAGUCUGUGUUUCCUGUUGUUUUUUUUAAUCCAUAGAAGGGAAAUUGUAUGGGUCAUUUAUAGUCUCUACAUUACCUACUUCGUGGCAUCCAAUGCUUAGAAAUUCUAGUAGAUCAUUCUUCAAGAUAUUGAAAUAUAUCAGAAUGACAACAUAUACAUCUACGUAUAUAUGUUUUUUGUGAAAUUACAUAUGGAGGAGGAAACCAUUAUUUGGAUAUGUAAAAGUUGUAUAAAAGCAAGUAUCAAAACAUUGAGGCAAGUGGAAUUUGACAGGGCCCUCAACGUUUGCACUUCAUAUUAUGCUUAUAGUAUUUAUGUUCCUUGCCACUGCAGUUAUGGUAUUCAAGGAAAUCUGACGAAAUGGCCUAGUUGAAGCAACAACAAGUGGAAACCG
rnacentral:lncRNA from 1 species